rnacentral:rRNA from 1 species
UACAGAGGGUGCGAGCGUUAAUCGGAAUUACUGGGCGUAAAGGGCGCGUAGGCGGUUUGAUAAGUCAUAUGUGAAAUCCCUGGGCUUAACCUAGGAAUGGCGUGUGAUACUGUUAGACUUGAGUAGGGUAGAGGGAAGUGGAAUUUCCGGUGUAGCGGUGAAAUGCGUAGAUAUCGGAAGGAACACCAGUGGCGAAGGCGGCUUUCUGGACUCAUACUGACGCUGAGGCGCGAGAGCGUGGGGAGCAAACAGG